UAUAAAUAAUGUUAUAAAUGUUUUCCUUAGAAGUCUAAAUACAAAUCCCUAUAAUACAAUGUUACUAUUACAGUAAACAUUUCUUAAAACAAGUAUCUGCUCUAUUAUAGUUGCCAGAGGACCUAUAAUUCAUCCUGGCUUUGAAUAAGAGGCUAUGGCUAUGAAUUAGCUAAGAGCUAAGCGCAAAUGGAAGCAAACCAUACAGCCCUACUGUGCUGGGAAAAUAGUAAAGGCGUGUUCUCAGAGGAAUACCUACAACAUCCUAAGUCUGAGCUCCAUAUAGAUGAACCAACAGAGAUGAAACUCGGGACAGCACAGAAGCUUGCAUACAUUAGCUAAUCUCAUCUUUGUGUCUGAUUCGUAGAGGACGUGAAUUAACCCAUGUGGCAAUCACCGAGAUGUAGAAGCAG
rnacentral:lncRNA from 1 species